UGAUUGUGGUAGGGCCUGACCAUGCCUGU
rnacentral:piRNA from 1 species